rnacentral:rRNA from 1 species
CCUACGGGUGGCAGCAGUGAGGAAUAUUGGUCAAUGGGAGAGAUCCUGAACCAGCCAAGCCGCGUGAGGGACGACGGCCCUAUGGGUUGUAAACCUCUUUUGUCGGAGGACAAAACCCGGGACGUGUCCCAGACUGCGUGUAUCCGAAGAAAAAGCAUCGGCUAACUCCGUGCAAGCAGCCGCGGUAAUACGGGGGAGUCGAGCGUUUUCCGGAUUUUUUGGGUUUAAAGGGUGAGUAGGCGGUCCGUUAGGUCAGCGGUAAAAUUGCGGGGCAAAACCCCGUCGGGCCGUUGAAACUGGCAGACUUGAGUGGGCGAGAAGUACGCGGAAUGCGCGGUGUAGCGGUGAAAUGCAUAGAUAUCGCGCAGAACUCCGAUUGCGAAGGCAGCGUACCGGCGCCAGACUGACGCUGAGGCACGAAAGCGUGGGGAUCGAACAGGAUUAGAUACCCUUGUAGUC